AAGAAGACAGUCACUAAUAAUGUGCCUGCGCAGAAGCCAAAGCCAAACAAUAGAGAUGUAACAACAAGUCAUGAUGGUGGUGGCUUCGUCCUAUAUCCAGCGGCUGCGUCUCUCCCUACUGUCUCCGGCUCCGGCCAUCACGGUGCUAGUGGUUGUGGUGGGCAUCAUGGUCACGAUGGAGGAGGAUGUGGUGGUGGCUGUGGCGGAGGAUGUGGUGGUGGCUGUGGCGGAGGAGGCGAUUGACGAAGUUAGUUUACCCAUGCAUGCUGCUACGUACUGUAUGCAUGAACUGAUAUUUUCUUUCUUGGACAGCCUUCUUUAAAUUGGGGAAAUCGACUUUAUUAGAGAAACAUAGCAUACUGAUUUGAUCAAAAUUCAAUAAUUGCAUGGAUACCAUAAUUAGAGGUUUAUUUCUUGAUCCCAUUAUUAUGAUUUUCUUUUGCAUAUACCAGUAUCCCACAUAUUUCCAUUGCAAUUAUCUUCUUAUUUUUUUUUUUUGUAUUUUGUAAUUCGUCCCAACUCCAUUGUUAAUAUACUUGCUUUGUCGAGCUUUAUGGAAAAAGGUAACUAAAUUUAGUGUAGACUAGAAUUUUAAUCAAAAUAAUUCAUUGGACUAAUUGGAGCAAUGGAUGAACA
rnacentral:lncRNA from 1 species